GUUCUUCAGUGGGAAGAACACGCACAUCAGCCGGCAGGCAAUUCUGGGCAAGUCUCCAGGGCACUUCUCCUGGAACCUGGCAGCCCACAUAACGAGAUGCAAUCUCUUUGUGACAGGCCACAGAACCUCUUCUCUGUCAGAGUAAGAUGGAUCACUGUUCUAACAACUGAAAAACGGUCAUUUAUGGACUACAGAGUCAAAGAGGGACAAAGUUCUUUCAUUCCUCAUGCUACCCCAAACUCAAGAAUGUUAAAAAUAAACUGAAGAUAAGUGCUUAUGCAAACAUAAAUAAAAAUAUCAAGAGAAAGUCCACAUAGGAUCCUAUAAGGCCAAUAAAUAGCAACUGUGCACCAAUCCAACCAACUGCCAGGCCGAUCCUAGAAUGUGACCGAGGACCAAGCAGGCAGCUUCUUCUACACUCAUGCCAAGUGAGUGGGGAUGAGAAAGGAAGGGCAGGCAGGUGAAAGCCUCGACCCCAGCACUGCUCAGCCCCUUCUCCUGAGCAGCUCUCUUCCCACUUUUCUUAUUGUUUCAGAUUCCAUGUCAGUAGUGGCAAACCUUUACAGGAUUAUGAAUACAAAAUGCCACUGGUCUCCUGAAGAUACAGCAGCAAAAUGAAACAUCCACAAAUAUGACUUAAAUUGAGAAUAUGUGCAUGUCUAUAACUCCACCCUUCACUGUGCUGCGGUUGUUCUCUGGACCACUCCUAUUUCAUCAGUGUUAUUGUCAACCUGAAGAACAAGCAGAAAGAGGCUCUCUGAAAUGAAAUGGAUGCUUAUUUGGGAAGAGAGCAUUGCAACGGGAAUACACAUGCCAUCGUAAAUGACAAGAAUAUUCAGGGAGGUAAAAAAAAAGACAAUAAUUUUUAAGGAAAAAUAAAUGAGAGGAUUAAAUCAUUGUUUUGAAAUAAUUAUCUUUGGCUACAGAGAUCCAUACCAGGACAAAGCCAGUCUGAGGUUGGACAGG
rnacentral:lncRNA from 1 species